CUCUCUCUCACUCUCGGUAUGCUCAGCCACGAACAGAACCAACUCCAUCUCUCUCUCCCUAACUACAGAGCAGGCCGCCGCCGGCUCGAUCUGCCACUUCCGGCCAUCUCCGGUGACACCGCGGACACCCACAGAAUCCCCUCGACUCCCUCUACCAUAUCCCCCCAUUUAUUUGAUCCACCGCCGCCUAAAUCGUCGCCACCAUCUAACCCCAGCGCCGCCUGCCUCGGGUCCGGUGGGUUCGCCACCGCCCGCGGCGGCAACGACAUCUACCUGCCUAUGCCCUCCACCAGUGCAGCCACACGCACGAGGCGUGCAACCACGGCCGUCGGGCGCGAGCGGCUUCACUGGCGCAGCUUCGGCAACAUGCCGCUAUCGGUGUUUGACUCCUUCAUCUACUGCUACCACUCAAGGUAACUAGAGUCCAGAAGAUCAGGUGUUCAUGUUCUAAGCAAAGGUAAAGAUGGAUCAAGGUGCCAAGCAUCAAGCAAACAGAGCUGCAAAAGCAAG